rnacentral:lncRNA from 1 species
GUUUAACACUCAAUAGUCGAUACAAUAUAUCACUCAAUUGUCAUUUGUAAUCUUGUGACAUGUUUUUGGAUUUAGUCCGAGCUGAUGGAUCCUGCAGUCAAAGGAACAUUAAAUGUCUUGGGUUCAUGUGUAAAAGCAUCUUCUGUUAAAAGGGUUGUGCUAACAUCUUCUAUGGCUGCGGUUUUACACACUGAAAGAGUUAAAUCACCUGAGGUUAUAGUUGAUGAAACAUGGCACUCAAGUGAAGAGAUUUGCAAAAAUAAUAAGGUAUAUAUAUAUAUCUUCAUUUCAAUUAUUCAAUGUGAUUAUCUACGAUAUUAUACCCUUUCAUAAUUUGUUGUAGUUUUCUCCUUAAGUUCUUCAAAUUACAAUGUUAGGAAUAAAUUGAUGGGUUAAUUUUUUUUCCUAGAUUGGUAGAUUCUACCUUUUUUUUGUUAUUCAUUAGUAAUUAUUAUUUUUAUUUUUUUUAUUACCGUGAUGAUCGAAAAUUGGCACGAUUGGGCAUUCUUAAAUCAUAUUAUUUUUCAUUUAAAUCGUGCAUAAUGCUAAUUGGAAUUUAUCUGACCUUCACCUCUAUUAGCCAUGGUAUGUCCUUUCCAAACUCUUAGCUGAGGAUGCAGCAUGGAAGUUUGCAAAAGAAAACAAUGUUGAUUUAGUUGCAAUAAAUCCUGCAGUGGUCAUCGGCCCUCUUCUGCAACCAACAUUGAAUACUAGUUCUGCUAUAAUUUUGAGAUUGAUUAAUGGUAAAUGAUUUUCUGCGCUAGUUCAUUUAUAUAUUACAAUGAGAUAAUGAAUUUUCACCAUCAUUUGAAUUGUCACAGGAUCCGAUACCUAUGCUAAUUUUUCUUUUGGGUGGGUUAAUGUUAAAGAUGUUGCACUUGCACAUAUUUUGGCAUUUGAGAAUCCUUCUGCCUCUGGAAGAUAUUGUCUGGUUGAUUCUGUUGAACAUUUCUCGAAGGUUAUAAAGCGUAUUCAUGAGAUGUUUCCUGCAAUAAAGCUUCCUGAAAAGUACGACCCUUGUUUAAAUUUUGUAUCAAAAUAUGAAUGAUUAUUACAUCAUUUUGUUUCUCCUUGAUUAUUACAUCGUUUAAAUUUGUUUAUCCUCUGCAUUAUCUGAAUUAGGCUAUGUUUUUAAUCAAAAUAUGAAUGAUUAUUACAGAUGUGCAGAUGACCAACCCUUUGCAACCGAAUACAAGGUAUCAAAAGAGAAGGCAGAAAGCUUGGGCGUCAAUUUUACUUCCAUGGAUGUGAGUCUGAAGGAAACCAUUGAAAGCUUGGUAGAGAAGAAGUUUGCAAAAAUUUGAUGUGUUUUUAAUAUAAAAAUAAACUGAGCAGUUAUCUUUAAAUUUGACGCGUUUUUAAAAUAAAAAUAAACUGAGUAGUUAUUUGACUUAUUUCUCAAUUGCCUAAUUAUUCUUUCGCACUUUUGCCGAUCGCCAACUCGCAAUUUAAUUUUGUUAUUUUCUUAUGCUAUUAUUAUGUGAUGAUUGAUGACAAACACAUAUACAUAUUUGAUUGUUUGCUUUUUCUUUCAUGAACAAAAAUGUUUACCCUUGUAUCUUUGACCAGAGGUUGUAAUUUGUGGGAGAUUGAGAAGUCGAACUUUUUUUGUUUAUAUCAUUUCAUCACCUUCACACAUUGUAAGUUUACUAUUCAUUUAUUUCACUACAAUUUUUGGUUUUUCUCCAUUUAAAAAUAGUGAAAACCCUUAUAAAUGAUAAAUUAAUGGACUUUAUCAUAUCUCUUCAUUCUUCUAAUCUCCUCUCUUGAUCUUCCAUGUAGAUGAUGAGUAAAAAUUUGUUAAUAUAUCUUAUCACUCAGUUUCUAUAACGACGUCCGUCAAGUGAUCACCGUACGGUACGUGGUCUCGACUUUCGUCAAAUGUCGUCGUGAGAUUUCAUUCGGCUGAGCUGACGUCAUGGCGUGAAUCCUAUUGCCUACGAGCUCACCUGGCGAUAGAGGUAUGUGCCUCAUGUCCGAACACUCGUGAUUAAUGACAAGCGAUUACGGAACUCGCAAUUCCGUGCUGACGAUGUGUCAGAACUUGCGAUUCCGCGAUCACUGAACGGAACCGCGAUGCGUCAGAACUCGCGCUUCCACGAAACGCAAGUUCCGCGGUUCCGUCAGCACGUGUAAUCGCGAUUCCGUUCUGACGCGGUUCCGUGAUUGCGCGAAUUGCGGAACUGACGUGGAACCGUGAGUUCCGGUUACGUUCUGACGCAUCGCGGUUCCGCAUGACACUCAUUUCCUGACAUCAAUGGUACAGUACAGAACAAGGUCUUAUCGGACACCCGUUUUCUGACAUCGGAGCUUCACCUAGGAAGUAGACGGCCAGAUGUGGUGUCCGCAAAACAAACGUAGCUCACCAGACAUAUUCCGAAAAUGCGUCCUAUAUAUUAUAUGGUCAAAAUAAAUAGUUCUCGUCUACCGCUCAUAAAGAUUUUCUUACCAGAAGCUUAGUGUUAAAAAUAUAUACUGAAGUUUUUCAUAAAUUUUUGUUUCUUCCUUUUCAACUGAAGUUACCACUAUAUUGAGGGGUGGAUCCAAUAAGGCUCAACCCAGACCAUGGACUGGGUCCAUUAAGGGAAAAUGUCUAAAUAUUGUUAAAGAAUUAUUAUAUUUUAAGGAUUAUUUACAUAUUUUAAGCUAAGACUGGUGUAGUGGUUUUAAUAUUAUAUGUCUCAUGUUCUCAACGCUACCAGGAACCGGCCAUUUCUACACCUAUCCACAGGCCACCGCCACGGCGCCACCGAUUUAUGUUUACCAACUCACUCGAUUACUCAUUUUCUUCACCCUCGUCUUUUAGUCUAUCCUCUCUUUUUGGCACCGAUCGCCGCCAUUGCUUACUGCGUACGCUCCAAGUAAAAAUGACCAUAGUCUAACGAUUACUUGUUUGACUUUGGGUAAUAACAUUCUCCAUUACUCCCUCCUCCCUAUCAGUAUUAAAGACAAAAUUUUGGAUCUGAAUUUCUUUUGAAACGAUUGAAAUACUUUUCUUACUUUUCUUCGUCUUUGUAAAGGGAAAAUAGAUGGGUUCGAACGGGAAAGUUGUGUGUGUAACUGGUGCGUCGGGCUUCAUCGCCUCGUGGUUGGUGAAGCUCCUCCUUCAGCGUGGUUAUACUGUCAGAGCCACAGUUCGCAACCCUGGUAUAAAUAUCUUCCCACAUGAUCCCUUAUUCCUUUACUUUUGAUUUUUGUUACCAACAUCUGGGUUUCAUUUCAAAUGCAUAUAUAAAAUUUGGAUUAACUUAUUGUGAUAAAACAUCCUAUCAAGAUUCAUCCAUUUAAAUAUUAUUAUUUUUUUGUUUAACUUGUGGUGUGUUAUUUAUAUGUUGUAGAUGAUCCACAUAAAACAAGUCAUCUGCUCGCAUUGGACGGUGCAGACACAGGAUUGGGUUUGGUCAAAGCAAACUUGCUUGAGGAAGGAAGUUUUGAUGCCGCGAUCGAUGGUUGUGAUUGUGUUUUUCACACAGCUUCCCCAGUUCUUUUUUCUGUAGAAGAGCCACAGGUUUAACACUCAAUAGUCGAUACAAUAUAUCACUCAAUUGUCAUUUGUAAUCUUGUGACAUGUUUUUGGAUUUAGUCCGAGCUGAUGGAUCCUGCAGUCAAAGGAACAUUAAAUGUCUUGGGUUCAUGUGUAAAAGCAUCUUCUGUUAAAAGGGUUGUGCUAACAUCUUCUAUGGCUGCGGUUUUACACACUGAAAGAGUUAAAUCACCUGAGGUUAUAGUUGAUGAAACAUGGCACUCAAGUGAAGAGAUUUGCAAAAAUAAUAAGGUAUAUAUAUAUAUCUUCAUUUCAAUUAUUCAAUGUGAUUAUCUACGAUAUUAUACCCUUUCAUAAUUUGUUGUAGUUUUCUCCUUAAGUUCUUCAAAUUACAAUGUUAGGAAUAAAUUGAUGGGUUAAUUUUUUUUCCUAGAUUGGUAGAUUCUACCUUUUUUUUGUUAUUCAUUAGUAAUUAUUAUUUUUAUUUUUUUUAUUACCGUGAUGAUCGAAAAUUGGCACGAUUGGGCAUUCUUAAAUCAUAUUAUUUUUCAUUUAAAUCGUGCAUAAUGCUAAUUGGAAUUUAUCUGACCUUCACCUCUAUUAGCCAUGGUAUGUCCUUUCCAAACUCUUAGCUGAGGAUGCAGCAUGGAAGUUUGCAAAAGAAAACAAUGUUGAUUUAGUUGCAAUAAAUCCUGCAGUGGUCAUCGGCCCUCUUCUGCAACCAACAUUGAAUACUAGUUCUGCUAUAAUUUUGAGAUUGAUUAAUGGUAAAUGAUUUUCUGCGCUAGUUCAUUUAUAUAUUACAAUGAGAUAAUGAAUUUUCACCAUCAUUUGAAUUGUCACAGGAUCCGAUACCUAUGCUAAUUUUUCUUUUGGGUGGGUUAAUGUUAAAGAUGUUGCACUUGCACAUAUUUUGGCAUUUGAGAAUCCUUCUGCCUCUGGAAGAUAUUGUCUGGUUGAUUCUGUUGAACAUUUCUCGAAGGUUAUAAAGCGUAUUCAUGAG